UAGUAAAAUAUAUCAAUCUUACAGUUAAUUUGUAAAAAUAACUUCAUUUUUUUAAAUUAGUUACUGAAAAAAAACAAAGUCAUAAAACAAUGAAUCGUUUUGUUGUAUUGAUUGCUUAUGUGGUUAUUAUUGUGGCCAUCAUUUCAGCUAGUACAAAUGCAGCUAAAACACCAAAAGUUCCAAUGCCUGUUCCGCAUUAUGAGUAUGUCCAGGGUCCUAAAUAAUUCAAUUAAACUGCACAACAAAUAAACAUUACUACAACUACAAUAUAAUUUAAAUAUAUAAUUAUAU